CACUGCAGAGCCACAUCAAGAGGGGGCAAAGGGGACAAAUUACUAACCUCCCUCUCACCCCCCACCCCACUGCUAGUGCCUUUAAUCAAGUCUGCAGCCACUGCUGCAGUGAACAAGAAAUAAAGAUUUCCGAAAAGGGGGCGGGGCUAAACGGCACUGUACACACAGUGCCAUGCCAGCCAGCAACAGCAUGGGAGAGAGGAGGGGAGAAGAGCAGUACAGCCUAAACAGAGGCCGAAACACAUACAUCCAGGAGAGCUGCGUGAUCUGCUUAGUACUGCAAUAACGGCUCAUCAGACAUCAUGCAGUCCGAGCCGGAGGAGAAGAUCUGGAAGAACAUAUGUCCAGGAGAGCUGCGUGAUCUGCUUAGUACUGCAAUAACGGCUCAUCAGACAUCAUUCAGUCCCAGCCGGAGGAGAAGAUCUGGAAGAACAUACGUCCAGGGGCAAGAGGUUUAACUUUUUGAAAGAGGGGACAUUCUCUGGAACAGUGGUAUCCAAGAAUCUUUAGAAGAUACUAUACAGUACGAUGAG